rnacentral:rRNA from 1 species
GACGAACGCUGGCGGCGUGCUUAACACAUGCCAGUCGAACGGAAAGGCCUUUUCGGAGGUACUCGAGUGGCGAACGGGUGAGUAACACGUGGGUGAUCUGCCCUGCACUCUGGGAUAAGCCUGGGAAACUGGGUCUAAUACCGGAUAGGACCGCACUUUAGUGUGUGGUGGAAAGUUUUUUCGGUGUAGGAUGAGCCCGCGGCCUAUCAGCUUGUUGGUGGGGUAAUGGCCUACCAAGGCGGCGACGGGUAGCCGGACUGAGAGGUUGGUCGGCCACAUUGGGACUGAGAUACGGCCCAGACUCCUACGGGAGGCAGCAGUGGGGAAUAUUGCACAAUGGGCGCAAGCCUGAUGCAGCGACGCCGCGUGGGGGAUGACGGCCUUCGGGUUGUAAACUCCUUUCGCCAGGGACGAAGCGUUUUGUGACGGUACCUGGAGAAGAAGCACCGGCUAACUACGUG